CUUCCUGGUUUCCAGUACUUACAGAUAAACAUUUGUGCCUGAAAGAGGUACUAAUGCGGCUCAUAGCAGAGAAGCCUCUUAAAAGCCAGUCUUGUUGCAGCGAUGUUAAUUAUUAAUAGGAUGUGGGGAAGAAAACACUGGAAAACCCCAACAGAUAGAGCCAAGCUGCUGCUUCAUCUGUGUCCAGCAGUGCAGGCCUAUCUUCCCCUGACCCAAGGGGAGAUUCACAGAUCUCUUUUGUCGUGACUGCUGUCGGCAAGAGCACAAAUCUUAAUGGAGAGGCUCAGCUGUCCCUCUGAAAGCCACAGCCAUCAGAAACCAAGGAGCUUAGUGACUCAUGUGGGGCUGAGCAAAGAUUCAGCCCCCUGGAGGGAUGUGGGCCCUCUUGGCAGCAUCUCUGCUCAGCAGGUUUGGCAAGGUGCUGGGAUGGCAGAGCCCCGCAGGACAGAGGUGCUGGGGGUCCCUGCAGGUACGGAGCUUUCAGACAUGGAGGUGCACAUCACAUGGCUGGCUGAAGCUUGCUGGAUGACAUGGAGGUCCCCAAGUUUUCCAUGAUGCUGAAUGCUGACGCUGCUGUGGAGAGCUGGCUGUGGAGCUGUAGGAGAGGAAUUACUGUCCUAUUUCUUCAUGCCAGAAUGAGGAACUGGAAACAGGCUGAAGGGGAAAGGAGCUGGAUGAGUGUCCCAGAGACCUUACAGGCUCAGAGGAAGACUGGCCAGGCUUAGGUUACUGUCCCUCUGCCCCUUCCCUGGUACCUCUGACACCAAUUAGGAGCUGGGUUUAUUAGCUGUGCUCCUGCUCCAGUCUCCAAACACCACCAAGCAGCGUCUGAGCCCGGUGCAGGAUGCAGAGUGUCUCAGGAUGCUGCAGCCAAGAGGGAGGUGAGCCUGCACCUGGCAGUGGGGAGCCCAGCCGCAGCCAGAUGCGAGCUCCUUCCCCACUCUCCCCCCUUCCCCUUGCCCUAGCCUCAGGCCAAACAGGGAAAAUCCUUCAGCAGAACCCCAGCUGGGGCUGCUCGCUGCCUUUCCAUAGCAACAGUCCAUCAGGGGGUCAGAGUCAGCAGCGAAAAAUGCUUUCUCGCCUUGCCUGCCGGUCGCUAUUUUGAUUGCAUUCCUGGGGAGCUGGGCUGCAGAUGUGGUCUCCUUAUCUUGGGAAGGUCUGAGUCAGUUUUUCCCUGAUGGAGCAGGCAGCUGAAGUCUGGAGGGAGAAAUAAAUAGCUUCAAAGGCACGCUGGGGGUGUUGCUUGGUGGGGAAAAAGUGGUGGUACCACUCUCCAUCCUGUACUCAUGGUGCCCACAUGGCACAGCACACAUACAGGAGAUAAAAUGCUGCAAAGCAGCGUUCAGACAGCCCUGAUGUCUUGGCCAAAGGAAAAGGAGACCAGGACUGCUGCUCCUUGGAUGACCUGAGUGACAUGUCCAAUGGAGAGGCACCAAGUUCACCCCACCAUUGUGUGUCCAGGCUGUGUGAUGCUCCUCAACACACCAGCACAUCUGCAGCUGUGUGGCAGAUGUGGCAGCUCACAAGCUGGUUGCCUUGUGCUCAGCCUGUGAGUGAAGCAGGAUCUGACCCUGUCCUCUGGUUGCUUUUCUGCUCAAAAUCUUGCUACCCGAUGCUGCACUGGGGAGAGGUGAUGUCUCCAUGCGUAGCAGUGUUGUCAGGAAUGGUGAAUCUCUUAGUGACUGGUCCAGGCUUCACUCUGGAAGCUGAGCUAGAAACCAGGGUUCAACUUGGUCAGAGACAAGGGAAGGUCUUGUGUAAGGUGCUGCUAGCAACCUGAAGUGUUAAUGCGUCCAUGGGCCAUGCACUAGAUAAUCAUCAGCCCAUCCUAGGGAAAGCAGUAAGCCACAAUAAAUGUUAAGCACAUUGCAAGUUUUUCUUCUAUUAGCAAGAUCCUCAGCUCAGGUUUCCCCAAAGCCUGGUAGCUCAGUGAGCAGUUCUUUCUUGUCCUUUGUAUUUUGCUUUUUCUGGGUGAGAAAGGGGCAUGUAGAACCCCAUGUGGUUUUGGAGAAGGAUGGUGAGUGUGGGGCUCCAGAGAUGAAGGUUCAGCAGGCAGGGCCUGGAGGGGGAGGAGGAGGGGAUACCCUGUAGUCCCUACACCCACUGCAAUGGGAUCAGGGGCAGCAACGCUGGGUUCAGCAGGGCACCAAGGGAUGUCCCAUGCCACCAGGUAUGGGGGAACUGCUUAGGAUCUGCCCUCCUGGAGCUGCAGCGAGAGCCAGGACUCGGGAGAAGGUUUCUAUAGCAACAGCUGCCACUCACUCCCCAUCUCAGAUGUAAAUGAGGUAGGAUUUUAUUAGUGUGCAGAAUUUCAUUGGUGGGAGCUGGCAGAAGGACCUGCUGAAUUCGUGGCAGAAGCGUGUUGGAGUCAGAAGCCUCUUCAGGAGUUUAGAGCAGGACAUGGUUUGGGGCAUCCUGCAUUGCUCUGUGCCUUGAUUUCUGUCCCAGUGACUGUGUGCAAAUCUGAACAGCUCUGGGUUUUCCAGGUCUCAGUCACAAGGCUGGGGAUGGGACACAGAGACAGUGUGUAUGGUUGGCUGCUUUGCCCCAAAGCCUGGCAGAGAGGCACUGUAGGGUGAGCUCCCUGUGCUGCCUCCUGGAUGAGACCCUGAUGGAGGCACAGCCAUGAGGUAUGGAAGCCCAAAGCCCCUCUCUUUGACAGUUAGGAAGACCAACAAGGAUAUCACAAUAGUGGGCCUGAUAUCAUUGCCUAGAAGCUAGUACAGCUGCUGUUUGGGUUUGUUAGAGCAGCACUUGUGGGCUGCAGGCAGUGCAGAGAGAAGACCAAUGCAUGUAAUGCUUCUUGCCAUACAUAUCUUGUAGCCCAAGUUUGAGCAGAUGGGUCAGGAAAGAAUCAGUCUCACAUCAGCCUACCGGAGAGCUGCAUUCAGGCCUCAGCUUAGGCAGUUCUGAGGUCCUGAGAUGGGAGUUCCCAUACUUCAUCACCAGCUGAGCCAUUCCUUUUGCAAAGUGGUUUCUCCAAAGUGCUAACAAUAUGAAUGGCCACAGCUGGGGCAGCACUGCCUCCGGGUGCUCUCAGUUAAAAGCUCAAUGAUGAAGCAAGGUGCUGGUCUAGCAGAAGUGCUGAGAGCCACCCAAGGUUUUCAGUCAAAGAGGUUCUUGAAGAAGUGGAAGCUCUGUGGAGCUGUGAUGGUGAAUGCUGCUCUGCUGGGACCUGUCCUCUUCACUUCCUCAAACACAAGCAAAUAAGAAGUGAUUGUGAUGCUAGCUGCUGUCUCCAGAUCAAAAGACCUUCCCAGAGAGGUGUGGGAUCCCCUUCCCUGUACCCAGCACACACUGUGGGAUGUCUGCUCAGCCCAGCUGACCCUGGAGCACCUCUGCUAUGAAGCCCCAGCCCACUUCCCAUACCCCAUGGGCAGCAGGGGGGGGGAUCUCCCUGUCAUCCUGCCCCACAGCAAAGCUGCUCCAUACCAACAUGAGCUGAAGGCAAGACUGAUGUGCUAAAACAACACUUGGAGAACUGAGAAGGGCACGGUCUGAGCCUCCCCUCAACCCCACACCUCCCAACAGCGCCGUAAAAUCUGUGCUGAAAAAGGACCAGCAAAACAGCAGGUUUGCCACACGGAUGCACUGACAGGGUUGGGGCACUUAUGGCAGGGAAAGCCCAGAGUGACAGCCCUGAAUGCACCCAACAAGGGCAGGAGUGCAAAACCCCACGGUAAAUGGAAGGAGAAGGCGCUGCUUUGCUGCUGAGAGAGAAUUGAGGUGGCAGGGAUGAAACACAGAAGCGCUGUGCAGGGAGCGGUGCUGGGGCUGGAGGGCUGUGGGAGGGAGGUAACAGGAUGGCCCCGGGUACCGCUUCCUCGUGGCACCCCUCCAGCCGUCCCCGUCACCCCCUAGUCACAUCCUGCUUGCGCUGGCUCCUGCCUCAUCCUGCUGCCUGCAGUUUCUCAACCCCUUUCCCUCCUGCCAGCACUUUCUGGCUGCUGGGGUUGCUGUGGGGCAGCAGGGCUGCAGGCAGCUCUUGGAACACCGGGAGAUUUAGGAUCGACGUGCUCCGUCCUCUCCUGUUUGACAGCAGAACUGCCAUUUAAGGGAGGAUUUGGAGGAGGCAUCUUCCUCUUUCCGAAUCCUUGCCGGCAUAGCCUCCAUCCCUAAGACCCUGCAGCAUGGGAUAUCCCAGCACCUAUGGGGUCCUCACCCUUCCCUGCUCUUCCCUGGGUCCCCACUUUGUCCCCAGUGCCCUUUCCUCCUCUGCACCCCCAUCUCCAGAGGGGCCACAUGCUGUGGGAAGGAUCACAUCCUGCUCUGGGACACUCAGUGCCCUGGCAGGGUGUAGUUGGAGCUGGCACUGCUUUGUGCUGGGCUGAGCUGUCCUGGCCUCCAAGUGCUUCUGCAACAGCCAGGAGAUCUCAAGGGGAGUUAUAGUGGAGCAUGGAGAUGCUGCAGUACAGCAGCAAGCUGGAGAUGUGGGGAGGGGGGGACUCUGCCAUGGACUUUCUGGGAUAACCUUGGUCAAGGCAGCUUUCUCUCUGUGUGUUUGGUUUUUUUUUUACCCAAACACAGCGCUGCCUUUGCUCACUGUGCUGGUGCAGAGGCUGAUUCCCAGCACCCCGGAGGAGGGCUGCUGGCUGCUGCCACAUCACUGCACUGCAGCAGCUCUGAGCUCAGUGCUCCGUGCUCGGGGUCUCAGCCCCACUGCGGAGCUGCUGCCGUGGAUAUGGGACCACCGUGACCCCCAUCCACGUCCUGCAGGUCCCUCUUUGCUCCAUCACCCAGUGCUGAGGCCUGGGGUGAGCGGCAGGCUGCAUCGCUUUGGGGUUUUGGCACACAGGGAAUGCAAGUGGGUGGGGAAAGAACUUCCACCAUCCCCACUGUUAGGGAGCACGGCACCCGGGGUGCUGCAUUGCCCCAAACAGGAGGCAGGGAACAUAGGGAGGAGAUGGCUGCACCCGCCUGGGGCUCAGGGAUGGGGCUGCCGGGCUCUGGCGUGGUGCAUCGCUCCUUCCCCAUCCCUCCAUCCCACGUACAACACAACGUGGCCAUGCACGGAGCCAACCAAGAGCGAUGCGAGGAGGGUCGCAGCUCAGCGGGGCGGCUCUGGGUUCCCCAGCUCUUCCCUCCAGACCACGCAACGGUUAAAUUCCUUUCCAGCUGAGCUGGCAAGCAGAGCCCGAGCAUAUUAGUCAGAUCCCUGUAGGGGGUGGGGAGGAGGAAGGAGCGAGCAGCGAGGAGGGGCCGCAGCCCAGCGCCGGGCUGAGCUAUUCUCCGGGGCGAGUGCGGGGAGGCAGCGCAGCAGGAGUUGCUGCUUCCCAGAAACUUGAUUAUUUUUAACCCAGGAAGAAAAAAAA